rnacentral:rRNA from 1 species
CUACGGGUUGCUGCAGUGGGGAAUAUUGGACAAUGGGGGAAACCCUGAUCCAGCAAUGCCGCGUGUGUGAAGAAGGCCUGCGGGUUGUAAAGCACUUUCGGUUGGGAGGACUGCUUCUAGCACUAAUAUUGUUGGAAGUUGACGUUACCUUCAGAAGAAGCACCGGCUAACUCCGUGCCAGCAGCCGCGGUAAUACGGAGGGUGCAUGCGUUAAUCGGAAUUACUGGGCGUAAAGCGCGCGUAGGCGGCUAGAUCAGUCGGGUGUGAAAGCCCCGGGCUUAACCUGGGAACUGCAUCCGAUAAUGUCUAGCUUGAGUACAGGAGAGGAGAGUGGAAUUCCACAUGUAGCGGUGAAAUGCGUAGAUAUGUGGAGGAACACCAAUGGCGAAGGCAGCUCUCUGGCCUGAUACUGACGCUGAGGUGCGAAAGCGUGGGGAGCAAACAGGAUUAGAUACCCUCGUAGUC